rnacentral:rRNA from 1 species
UACGUAGGGUGCGAGCGUUAAUCGGAAUUACUGGGCGUAAAGCGUGCGCAGGCGGUUUUGUAAGCCAGAUGUGAAAUCCCCGGGCUCAACCUGGGAAUGGCAUUUGGGACUGCAAGGCUUGAGUGCGGCAGAGGAGACUGGAAUUCCUGGUGUAGCAGUGAAAUGCGUAGAUAUCAGGAGGAAUACCGAUGGCGAAGGCAGGUCUCUGGGCUGACACUGACGCUCAUGCACGAAAGCGUGGGGAGCAACAGG